rnacentral:rRNA from 1 species
GAUUUAUCGGUAUGAGAUGGCGAUGCGUCCCAUUAGCUUGUUGGUGGGGUAACGGCUCACCAAGGCAUCGAUGGGUAGGGGUUCUGAGAGGAAGGUCCCCCACAUUGGAACUGAGACACGGUCCAAACUCCUACGGGAGGCAGCAGUGAGGAAUAUUGGUCAAUGGACGAAAGUCUGAACCAGCCAAGUAGCGUGCAGGAUGACGGCCCUCUGGGUUGUAAACUGCUUUUAGUUGGGAAUAAAAAGAGGGACGUGUCCCUUAUUGUAUGUACCAUCAGAAAAAGGACCGGCUAAUUCCGUGCCAGCAGCCGCGGUAAUACGGAAGGUCCAGACGUUAUCCGGAUUUAUUGGGUUUAAAGGGAGCGCAGGCGGCGGCGUAAGUCAGUUGUGAAAUCGUGCGGCUUAACCGUGCAAUUGCAGUUGAUACUGCGUCGCUUGAGUGCACACAGGGAUGUUGGAAUUCAUGGUGUAGCGGUGAAAUGCUUAGAUAUCAUGAAGAACUCCGAUCGCGAAGGCAUAUGUCCGGAGUGCAACUGACGCUGAGGCUCGAAAGUGUGGGUAUCAAACAGGAUUAGAUACCCUGGUAGUCCACACAGUAAACGAUGAAUACUCGCGGUUGGUUCGUUAGAA